AAUAUUGGGCAAUGGGCGCAAGCCUGACCCAGCAACGCCGCGUGAGGGAAGACGGUCUUCGGAUUGUAAACCUCUGUCCUUGGGGACGAAAAAAAUGACGGUACCCAAGGAGGAAGCUCCGGCUAACUACGUGCCAGCAGCCGCGGUAAUACGUAGGGAGCGAGCGUUGUCCGGAAUUACUGGGCGUAAAGGGUGCGUAGGCGGCAUGGCAAGUCAGAUGUGAAAUUCCCGGGCUUAACCCGGGGGGUGCAUUUGAAACUGCCGAGCUUGAGUGCAGGAGAGGAAAGCGGAAUUCCUAGUGUAGCGGUGAAAUGCGUAGAUAUUAGGAGGAACACCAGUGGCGAAGGCGGCUUUCUGGACUGUAACUGACGCUGAGGCACGAAAGCGUGGGGAGCAAAC
rnacentral:rRNA from 1 species